rnacentral:rRNA from 1 species
AUGGCCUAGUAACGGCGAGUGAAGCGGCAACAGCUCAAAUUUGAAAUCUGGCCCCCUCGGGGUCCGAGUUGUAAUUUGUAGAGGGUGCUUUGGCGUCGGGCGUGGUCUAAGUUCCUUGGAACAGGACGUCACAGAGGGUGAGAAUCCCGUACGUGGCCGCCGUCCUUCGCCGUGUAAAGCCCCUUCGACGAGUCGAGUUGUUUGGGAAUGCAGCUCUAAAUGGGAGGUAAAUUCCUUCUAAAGCUAAAUAUUGGCCAGAGACCGAUAGCGCACAAGUAGAGUGAUCGAAAGAUGAAAAGCACUUUGGAAAGAGAGUCAAAAAGCACGUGAAAUUGUUGAAAGGGAAGCGCUUGCAGCCAGACGUGCCCGCAGUUGCUCACCCAGGCUCUCGCCUGGGGCACUCUUCUGCGGGCAGGCCAGCAUCAGUUCGGGCGGUCGGAUAAAGGCCUCUGUCACGUACCUCCCUCCGGGGAGGCCUUAUAGGGGAGGCGCAACACGACCAGCCCGGACUGAGGUCCGCGCAUCUGCUAGGAUGCUGGCGUAAUGGCUGUAAGCGGCCCGUCUUGAAACACGGACCAAGGAGUCUAACAUCUAUGCGAGUGUUUGGGUGUCAAGCCCGGGCGCGCAAUGAAAGUGAACGGAGGUGGGAACCCUUUGGGUGCACCAUCGACCGAUCCUGAUGUCUUCGGAUGGAUUUGAGUAAGAGCAUAGCUGUUGGGACCCGAAAGAUGGUGAACUAUGCCUGAAUAGGGUGAAGCCAGAGGAAACUCUGGUGGAGGCUCGCAGCGGUUCUGACGUGCAAAUCGAUCGUCAAAUUUGGGCAUA